AUUGAACGCUGGCGGCAUGCCUUACACAUGCAAGUCGAGCGGAUGAGAGGAGCUUGCUCCUCGAUUCAGCGGCGGACGGGUGAGUAAUGCCUAGGAAUCUGCCUAGUAGUGGGGGACAACGUUUCGAAAGGAACGCUAAUACCGCAUACGUCCUACGGGAGAAAGUGGGGGAUCUUCGGACCUCACGCUAUUAGCUGAGCCUAGGUCGGAUUAGCUAGUUGGUAGGGUAAAGGCCUACCAAGGCGACGAUCCGUAACUGGUCUGAGAGGAUGAUCAGUCACACUGGAACUGAGACACGGUCCAGACUCCUAUGGGAGGCAGCAGUGGGGAAUAUUGGACAAUGGGCGAAAGCCUGAUCCAGCCAUGCCGCGUGUGUAAAGAAGGCCUUCGGGUCGUAAAGCACUUUAAGUUGGGAGGAAGGGCUCAUAGCGAAUACCUGUGAGUUUUGACGUUACCAACAGAAUAAGCACCGGCUAACUUCGUGCCAGCCGCCGCUGUAAAAC
rnacentral:rRNA from 1 species